CACAAACAAUAAACGCAUACAUACCUUUAGAAAGGGGAAGAACGAAAACAGGGGAAGCUUGAGGGGGAAAAAAAGAGACAGAGAAAGGAGAAGGGGAAAUCGAGAGAGAAGAGAGGGGAAGGAAGUCGUCGUGCCCUGUACACUCAUCGCCGCUAUUCCGUGGAGUCCGCCCUGGUGCCGGUUGAACAGGGAUGAGGGAGAGGUGUCGAGAGAGAUUGACAGAGACGUUCACGUUAUUCGUCCUCGUCCCUGCCAUGCGUUGCCGCCGUCACCGUUAGUUCCGCUGCCGUCGAGCUUGAAGGAGAAAGGGAGAGCCUGAGAGAGAGAGAGAGAUUGACGGAAGCCAAUGAAGCGCAUGAGAGAAGGGAAGCCGAUUCUGUCACCGCCGCCGUACCCAGUCGCCGUCACUAGAGCUCGCCGUCGCUGGAGGUGAACUAGUAUCGCGUCCUUGCUGCCAGAGUCAUGAGCGCCACUACUACUCCUCAAAUUACGCCUCUCUUCCAUUAGGGUUUGCUAUCUCAGCCCCUUUGAAGCUACUGUCGUUCUGUUAAAGGUUCCGGCCGUGAAUGCUAGCACCAGCAUCACCAUCCUUCUUGUCUUGGUCUCAAUUUCGAGCAGGAGGACAUGAUGUGAAGAAAAUAUGUUCUAUACAAAUAUAAGAUGGGAUGAAUCUUAUAAUAAUUUUUGUUAUCUAAAUGUAUUAUUUUGAUGUGUUCUUUAUUUUUUGAUAAGAGACUUUAUCCGAUAUUACAUGUAAUGGAUAAAUUACACCUUAUUUUGAUUUGUGUUGUAAUGGAUAUCUAGUUUUUAAUGAAACUUUUAUGAUUUAAAUUUA